CCUACGGGAGGCAGCAGUGGGGAAUAUUGCACAAUGGGGGAAACCCUGACGCAGCGACGCCGCGUGAGUGAGGAAGGUUUUCGGAUCGUAAAGCUCUGUCAGAAGGGAAGAAGUGUUAUACAGUUAAUACCUGUAUAAUUUGACGGUACCUUCAGAGGAAGCACCGGCUAACUCCGUGCCAGCAGCCGCGGUAAU
rnacentral:rRNA from 1 species